ACGAAGGGGGCUAGCGUUGCUCGGAAUGACUGGGCGUAAAGGGCGCGUAGGCGGCACAUACAGUCAGACGUGAAAUUCCUGGGCUUAACCUGGGGGCUGCGUUUGAUACGUAUGAGCUAGAGUGGGGAAGAGGGUUGUGGAAUUCCCAGUGUAGAGGUGAAAUUCGUAGAUAUUGGGAAGAACACCGGUGGCGAAGGCGGCAACCUGGUCCUUGGCUGACGCUGAGGCGCGAAAGCGUGGGGAGCAAACAGGAUUAGAUACCCUGGUAGUCCACGCUGUAAACGAUGUGUGCUGGAUGUUGGGUGACUAGUCACUCAGUGUCGUAGCUAACGCGAUAAGCACACCGCCUGGGGAGUACGGCCGCAAGGUUG
rnacentral:rRNA from 1 species